UACGUAGGGUGCAAGCGUUAAUCGGAAUUACUGGGCGUAAAGCGUGCGCAGGCGGUGAUGUAAGACAGAUGUGGAAUCCCCGGGCUCAACCUGGGAACUGCAUUUGUGACUGCAUCGCUGGAGUGCGGCAGAGGGGGAUGGAAUUCCGCGUGUAGCAGUGAAAUGCGUAGAUAUGCGGAGGAACACCGAUGGCGAAGGCAAUCCCCUGGGCCUGCACUGACGCUCAUGCACGAAAGCGUGGGGAGCAAACAGG
rnacentral:rRNA from 1 species